rnacentral:rRNA from 1 species
GGUGAAGAUGCCGUAUCCCCGCGGCUAGACGGAAAGACCCCGUGAACCUUUACUAUAGCUUGGCACUGAACAUUGACCCUACAUGUGUAGGAUAGGUGGGAGGCUUUGAAGUUGGAACGCCAGUUCUGAUGGAGUCGUCCUUGAAAUACCACCCUUGUAUGUUUGAUGUUCUAACGUGGGCCCCUAAUCGGGGUUGCGGACAGUGUCUGGUGGGUAGUUUGACUGGGGCGGUCUCCUCCUAAAGAGUAACGGAGGAGCACGAAGGUUGGCUAAGUACGGUCGGACAUCGUACGGUUAGUGCAAAGGCAGAAGCCAGCUUAACUGCGAGACAGACACGUCGAGCAGGUACGAAAGUAGGUCUUAGUGAUCCGGUGG